GCAAGUCGAGCGGAAACGAGUUAUCAAAGCCUUCGGGUGGCGAUAACGGCGUCGAGCGGCGGACGGGUGAGUAAUGCCUGGGAAAUUGCCCUGAUGUGGGGGAUAACCAUUGGAAACGAUGGCUAAUACCGCAUGAUAGCUUCGGCUCAAAGAGGGGGACCUUCGGGCCUCUCGCGUCAGGAUAUGCCCAGGUGGGAUUAGCUAGUUGGUGAGGUAAGGGCUCACCAAGGCGACGAUCCCUAGCUGGUCUGAGAGGAUGAUCAGCCACACUGGAACUGAGACACGGUCCAGACUCCUACGGGAGGCAGCAGUGGGGAAUAUUGCACAAUGGGCGCAAGCCUGAUGCAGCCAUGCCGCGUGUAUGAAGAAGGCCUUCGGGUUGUAAAGUACUUUCAGCAGUGAGGAAGGCAGGUACGUUAAUAGCGUGCUUGUUUGACGUUAGCUGCAGAAGAAGCACCGGCUAACUCCGUGCCAGCAGCCGCGGUAAUACGGAGGGUGCGAGCGUUAAUCGGAAUUACUGGGCGUAAAGCGCAUGCAGGUGGUUUGUUAAGUCAGAUGUGAAAGCCCGGGGCUCAACCUCGGAAUUGCAUUUGAAACUGGCAGACUAGAGUACUGUAG
rnacentral:rRNA from 1 species